rnacentral:rRNA from 1 species
ACUGCUCAGUAACACGUGGCUAAUCUGCCCUUAGGACGAGAACAACCCCGGGAAACUGGGGCUAAUUCUCGAUAGGUGAAGAACUCUGGAAUGAGUCUUCGCCCAAAAAGCUUCACGUUAUGCGCGUGAGGUCGCCUAAGGAUGAGGCCGCGACCGAUCAGGUUGUUGGCGAGGUAAUGGCUCACCAAGCCUUUUACCGGUGCGGGCCGUGAGAGCGGGAGCCCGGAGAUGGGCACUGAGACAAGGGCCCAGGCCCUACGGGGCGCAGCAGUCGCGAAACCUUUGCAAUACACGAAAGUGUGACAGGGCUAUCCCGAGUGCCAUCCGCUGAGGAAGGCUUUUACCCAGUCUAGAACGCUGGGGGAAUAAGGAGAGGGCAAGUCUGGUGUCAGCCGCCGCGGUAAUACCAGCUCUUCGAGUGGUGUGGAUGUUUAUUGGGCCUAAAGCAUCCGUAGCUGGCUAAGUUAGUCCCUUGUUAAAUCCACCGAAUUAAUCGUUGGAUUGCGGGGGAUACUGCUUGGCUAGGGGACGAGAGAGGCAGACGGUAUUUUCGGGGUAGGGGUGAAAUCCUAUAAUCCCGGGAAGACCACCAGUGGCGAAGGCUGUCUGCUAGAACGCGCCCGACGGUGAGGGAUGAAAGCUGGGGGAGCGAACCGGAUUAGAUACCCGGGUAGUCCCAGCUGUAAACGAUGCAGACUAGGUGUUUGGACGGCCACGUGCCGUUCUAGUGCCGCAGGGAAGCUGUUAAGUCUGCCGCCUGGGGAGUACGAUCGCAAGAUUGAAACUUAAAGGAAUUGGCGGGGGAGCAC